rnacentral:rRNA from 1 species
GGAUUAGAUACCCUGGUAGUCCACGCCGUAAACGAUGAGUGCUAGCUGGUGGGUAUGUCUACCUGCUUACCGGCGCAGUUAACGCAUUAAGCACUCCGCCUGGGAAGUACGGCCGCAAGGCUAAAACUCAAAGGAAUUGACGGGGGCCCGCACAAGCGGUGGAGCAUGUGGUUUAAUUCGAUGCAACGCGAAGAACCUUACCCAGGCUUGACAUCCUCGGAAGCCUUUCGAAAGAAGGGCGUGCCGAUUCAUUUCGGAACCGAGAGACAGGUGCUGCAUGGCUGUCGUCAGCUCGUGCUG